GCCCGUAUAGCUCAGUGGUAGAGCGCGUCACUCGUAAUGACGAGGUCCGUUGUUCAAUCCAGCGUGUGGGCA
rnacentral:tRNA from 1 species